rnacentral:rRNA from 1 species
UACAGAGGGUGCAAACGUUGCUCGGAAUUAUUGGGCGUAAAGGGCUCGUAGGUGGCCAACUAAGUCAGACGUGAAAUCCCUCGGCUUAACCGGGGAACUGCGUCUGAUACUGGAUGGCUUGAGUUCGGGAGAGGGAUGCGGAAUUCCAGGUGUAGCGGUGAAAUGCGUAGAUAUCUGGAGGAACACCGGUGGCGAAGGCGGCAUCCUGGACCGACACUGACACUGAGGAGCGAAAGCCAGGGGAGCAAACGGG